UUUUAAAAAAUGAGGGUGCGCUAUUGCUAAGUUGAUAAAACACGUGGACUUUGUGAAAUAAAUCUUGAGAAAAACGGAGAAGAACUCCUGUUCUUAUCCGCCGCAGCUCUGCUUCUCAAAGUCGACUACUUCUCUGCCUUCAUCCCUCGCUCUUCCUCGGAUUUUCCAAGGGAGAUAAUGGAGGCUCAAGCUCAUGAUGCAGUUACUCAAGCGUCUCGUGUUAAAGCCAUAAUUAAACUUGGAUCAGAAAUCUACUCUAUCGAUGCAGACAAGGGUAGUACCAUAUCUGAGGAAUUGGUUUCUUUAAAAGAGAAAAGCAUGACUGUGUUGAAGGAAUUCAUUACCAAGCACAAUGCUCCCAGUGAUGUCCCUGAUGAACUCGUUGAAAUGUCUUCAGACGAUGAAGAAGAAAUCGCUGAUAAGCAAGCGCAUGCUAAAUCAAAGAAGACUAAGCUUACUUGAUUCCGCUUGUUGUUCUAGGCUCUAACACAAUAACAUUCAUGGAAAGCUUCUCUCUGUGUUUAUGGUCAUCCAUUCCUGCCUCCUCCAUCUUCUCGCCAUUAUCAUCAUCUGCUGUUAAUGCUAUAACGGGCAUAUGAAUGUCAUAAGAUCUCUCCUCUAAUCUUAUCUGCCUCGUUGCUUCAUACCCAUUCAUUAUUGGCAUCUGGUAGAAUAGCAAACAAGACCGUAACGGACUAGUUCUAGAGCUUCCUCUCCAUUUGCACAAAGCUUAACAGACGCACCGAGUUUUGAAAGAUUACCCUUGGCUACCAUGCGGGAGGCUUGAUCAUCAUCAGCAACCAAGAAUCUCACCCCGCUCAAGGGUUUAUCACUGCUUUGGUUACCACAUUCUCUAUCAUGUAUCUCUGAAGAUCCAAUUGAAUCUUUUCUAGCUGGAUAUUGUCCUGUUGUCUUGUGGUGCUCCCUAAUUGUGCUGCCCUCUACUACCAUGUGCCCUUCUUGAAGUGAGUGUUGCCUACGUUGUAACUUAAUUGCAGAUGAUGAUCCAGGAUCUUUAAUAGCUUUUCUUGCUCGAA